rnacentral:rRNA from 1 species
GACGAACGCUGGCGGCGUGCCUAAUACAUGCAAGUAGAACGCUGAAGGAGGAGCUUGCUCUUCUGGAUGAGUUGCGAACGGGUGAGUAACGCGUAGGUAACCUGCCUGGUAGUGGGGGAUAACUAUUGGAAACGAUAGCUAAUACCGCAUAAGAGUAGAUGUCGCAUGACAUUUGCUUAAAAGGUGCAAUUGCAUCACUACCAGAUGGACCUGCGUUGUAUUAGCUAGUUGGUGAGGUAACGGCUCACCAAGGCAACGAUACAUAGCCGACCUGAGAGGGUGAUCGGCCACACUGGGACUGAGACACGGCCCAGACUCCUACGGGAGGCAGCAGUAGGGAAUCUUCGGCAAUGGACGGAAGUCUGACCGAGCAACGCUCGCGUGAGUGAAGAAGGUUUUCGGAUCGUAAAGCUCUGUUGUAAGAGAAGAACGAGUGUGAGAGUGGAAAGUUCAUACUGUGACGGAU